UGACUCUUCGUCAUUCCCGUAUUCGCGUUUCACCUUAUGUUCACAACACCUUAGAUGAUAUGCAGCGUGUUGUAGAGACCCUGGAGCGACUGAUCACGACUGC
rnacentral:ribozyme from 1 species